rnacentral:rRNA from 1 species
GCCCCAGUAAACGGCGGCCGUAACUAUAACGGUCCUAAGGUAGCGAAAUUCCUUGUCGGGUAAGUUCCGACCCGCACGAAAGGCGUAAUGAUUUGGGCACUGUCUCAACGAGAGACUCGGUGAAAUUAUAGUACCCGUGAAGAUGCGGGUUACCCGCGACAGGACGGAAAGACCCCAUGGAGCUUUACUGUAGCUUGAUAUUGAGUGUUUGUACCGCUUGUACAGGAUAGGUAGGAGCCGUAGAGAUCGGAACGCUAGUUUCGAUGGAGGCGUUGGUGGGAUACUACCCUAGCUGUAUGAACACUCUAACCCGCGCCACUAAUCGUGGCGGGAGACAGUGUCAGGUAGGCAGUUUGACUGGGGCGGUCGCCUCCUAAAAUGUAACGGAGGCGCCCAAAGGUUCCCUCAGAAUGGUUGGAAAUCAUUCGCAGAGUGUAAAGGUAUAAGGGAGCUUGACUGCGAGACUGACAAGUCGAGCAGGGACGAAAGUCGGGCUUAGUGAUCCGGUGGUUCCGUAUGGAAGGGCCAUCGCUCAACGGAUAAAAGCUACCCUGGGGAUAACAGGCUUAUCUCCCCCAAGAGUCCACAUCGACGGGGAGGUUUGGCACCUCGAUGUCGGCUCAUCGCAUCCUGGGGCUGUAGUCGGUCCCAAGGGUUGGGCUGUUCGCCCAUUAAAGCGGUACGCGAGCUGGGUUCAGAACGUCGUGAGACAGUUCGGUCCCUAUCCGUCGCGGGCGCAGGAAAUUUGAGAGGAGCUGUCCUUAGUACGAGAGGACCGGGAUGGACGUUCCGCUGGUGUACCAGUUGUGCCGCCAGGCGCAUCGCUGGGUAGCUAUGAACGGCAGGGAUAAACGCUGAAAGCAUCUAAGUGUGAAGCCCCCCUCGAGAUGAGAUUUCCCAUUCCUAUAUGGAAGUAAGACCCCUGAGAGAUGAUCAGGUAGAUAGGCUGGAAGUGGAAGUGCAGCGAUACAUGGAGCGGACCAGUACUAAUCGGUCGAGGACUUAACCAA